rnacentral:rRNA from 1 species
AACGAACGCUGGCGGCAUGCCUAACACAUGCAAGUCGAACGAGACCUUCGGGUCUAGUGGCGCACGGGUGCGUAACGCGUGGGAACCUGCCCUUAGGUUCGGAAUAACUCCCCGAAAGGGGUGCUAAUACCGGAUAAUGUCUUCGGACCAAAGAUUUAUCGCCUUUGGAUGGGCCCGCGUUGGAUUAGCUAGUUGGUAGGGUAAAAGCCUACCAAGGCGACGAUCCAUAGCUGGUCUGAGAGGAUGAUCAGCCACACUGGGACUGAGACACGGCCCAGACCCAGCCGGGUGGAUGCGGGGGGGAAGAUGGAAGAGGGGGCAAACUCCUGCACGAGCGGGGCCGUGGGGGUAAUGAAGGCAUUAGGGUGUAAACCCUUUUGUACCGGGGAUAAUAAUGACAGGGCGGGAAGAACAACCCCCGACCACCGCCGCGCCAGCGGCCUCGGUAAUAAUCGGAGUACAACACUUCUCAUC